GUCCUCUUGUUUUAUAUAUGAGGUCUGACCUGCCCAGUGAAAAUUAUUUUAACGGCCGCGGUAUUUUGACCGUGCAAAGGUAGCAUAAUCAUUAGUCUUUUAAUAGGAGGCUGGAAUGAAGGGUUUGACGAGGUAUUGACUGUCUCAUUUAAUUUGAAAUUAAAAUUUAACUUUUCAGUUAAAAGGCUGAAAUUGUAUUGGAAGACGAGAAGACCCUAUAGAGCUUUAUAUUUAAAAUUAAUAAUAAAUUUUUGUUUAUUAUUAUUUCUUAUUAUUUUAAUUAUUUUGUUGGGGUGACAAAAAUAUAUAAAUAACUUUUUUAUUUAAAUAACAUUGAUUUAUGGUUAUUAGAUCCAGUCUUAUUGAUUGUUAGAUUAAGUUACCUUAGGGAUAACAGCGUAAUCUUCCUUCAGAGUUCAUAUUUACAGGAAGGAUUGCGACCUCGAUGUUGGAUUAAGAUAAUAAUUAGGUGUAGCCGCUUAAUAUAUAGGUCUGUUCGACCUUUAAAUUCUU
rnacentral:rRNA from 1 species